AGAACGAACGCUGGCGGCAUGCCUAACACAUGCAAGUCGAACGAGACCUUCGGGUCUAGUGGCGCACGGGUGCGUAACGCGCGGGAAUCUGCCCUUAGGUACGGAAUAACAGUGAGAAAUUACUGCUAAUACCGUAUGAUGUCUUCGGACCAAAGAUUUAUCGCCUAGGGAUGAGCCCGCGUUGGAUUAGCUAGUUGGUGGGGUAAAGGCCUACCAAGGCGACGAUCCAUAGCUGGUCUGAGAGGAUGAUCAGCCACACUGGGACUGAGACACGGCCCAGACUCCUACGGGAGGCAGCAGUGGAGAAUAUUGGACAAUGGGCGAAAGCCUGAUCCAGCAAUGCCGCGUGAGUGAAGAAGGCCUUCGGGUUGUAAAGCUCUUUUACCCGGGAAGAUAAUGACUGUACCGAGAGAAUAAGCCCCGGCUAACUCCGCGCCAGCAGCCGC
rnacentral:rRNA from 1 species